ensembl:lncRNA
UUCGCAUAUAAUUUGAAAUUGAAAAUUCCACUUUUUUAGCUUUCUUGGGAAAUGCUACUAGUUCAGAGAAAAUGGGCAUUCAGGCACAAUCCAUUUUCACUGAUGGUUCCCAAACCAUCUUUUUACAGUCCCAAAGCCACAGGAAUGUACUAAGUUUCCUUUCAAGCUUCCAGAUGAUCUUCAAGCAUUUCAAAGAAUUCAUCAAAGGAAGCAGAGAGAACACUGAAAGAUUCAGAGAGAUGAAGGAACAUGCGAAAACAGUGAGACAACAAGAAGGAGCAGGUCACAGUGUCCAUCAGCUUUGCUUCUUUGGAAGGCCAAGUAUUAAGAAGAUAAAUAGAUACGGUCACUGGCAUGGAAGAUGGAAGAGACAUAACUGCAGAGGAAAAGGUCCCACAGAUUCAUAGCAUAGGAUGUCAGCAGAGACUAGUAUAACUAGUUUGGUUCAACUGACACAGCCUACCAAUUUAUGGGACGUCCUGUGAGAAAGUAUUGACUCAGCAUUGCAUCUUGGAAACUUCUGCCUAAGAACCCACCUAAAUAUAGUGAUUGUGGUUC